rnacentral:rRNA from 1 species
GGCCCCUUCGGGGGUACACGAGCGGCGAACGGGUGAGUAACACGUGAGCAACCUACCCUCAACUUCGGGAUAAGCCUCGGAAACAAGGUCUAAUACCGGAUAUCACUCCUUUCCUCAUGGUUUGGGGUUGAAAGUUCUGGCGGUUGGGGAUGGGCUCGCGGCCUAUCAGCUUGUUGGUGGGGUAAUGGCCUACCAAGGCGUCGACGGGUAGCCGGCCUGAGAGGGCGACCGGCCACACUGGGACUGAGACACGGCCCAGACUCCUACGGGAGGCAGCAGUGGGGAAUAUUGCGCAAUGGACGAAAGUCUGACGCAGCAACGCCGCGUGAGGGAUGACGGCCUUCGGGUUGUAAACCUCUUUCAGCAGGGACGAAGCGAGAGUGACGGUACCUGCAGAAGAAGGACCGGCCAACUACGUGCCAGCAGCCGCGGUAAUACGUAGGGUCCGAGCGUUGUCCGGAAUUAUUGGGCGUAAAGGGCUCGUAGGCGGUUCGUCACGUCGGGAGUGAAAACUCGGAGCUCAACUCCGAGCCUGCUUCCGAUACGGGCAGACUAGAGGUAGGCAGGGGAGAGCGGAACUCCUGGUGUAGCGGUGGAAUGCGCAGAUAUCAGGAAGAACACCGGUGGCGAAGGCGGCUCUCUGGGCCUUACCUGACGCUGAGGAGCGAAAGCGUGGGUAGCGAACAGGAUUAGAUACCCUGGUAGUCCACGCCGUAAACGUUGGGCGCUAGGUGUGGGGGACAUUCCACGUCCUCCGUGCCGCAGCUAACGCAUUAAGCGCCCCGCCUGGGGAGUACGGCCGCAAGGCUAAAACUCAAAGGAAUUGACGGGGGCCCGCACAAGCGGCGGAGCAUGCGGAUUAAUUCGAUGCAACGCGAAGAACCUUACCUGGGUUUGACAUAUAGGGAAAUCCUCCAGAGAUGGGGGGUCCGUAAGGGUCCUAUACAGGUGGUGCAUGGCUGUCGUCAGCUCGUGUCGUGAGAUGUUGGGUUAAGUCCCGCAACGAGCGCAACCCUCGUCCUAUGUUGCCAGCACGUUAUGGUGGGGACUCAUAGGAGACUGCCGGGGUCAACUCGGAGGAAGGUGGGGAUGACGUCAAGUCAUCAUGCCCCUUAUGUCCAGGGCUUCACGCAUGCUACAAUGGCCGGUACAAAGGGCUGCGAAACCGCAAGGUGGAGCGAAUCCCAAAAAGCCGGUCUCAGUUCGGAUUGGGGUCUGCAACUCGACCCCAUGAAGUCGGAGUCGCUAGUAAUCGCAGAUCAGCAACGCUGCGGUGAAUACGUUCCCGGGCCUUGUACACACCGCCCGUCACGUCAUGAAAGUCGGCAACACCCGAAGCCGG